UACGUAGGGGGCAAGCGUUGUCCGGAUUCAUUGGGCGUAAAGAGCGUGUAGGCGGCCAGGUAGGUCGGUUGUGAAAACUGGAGGCUCAACCUUCAGAGGUCGACCGAAACCAUCUGGCUAGAGUCCGGGAGAGGAGAGUGGAAUUCCUGGUGUAGCGGUGAAAUGCGCAGAUAUCAGGAAGAACACCCGUGGCGAAAGCGGCUCUCUGGAACGGUACUGACGCUGAGGCACGAAGGUCAGGGGAGCAAACGGG
rnacentral:rRNA from 1 species